GAACUGAAGAGUUUGAUCAUGGCUCAGAUUGAACGCUGGCGGCAGGCCUAACACAUGCAAGUCGAGCGGAUGAAGGGAGCUUGCUCCUGGAUUUAGCGGCGGACGGGUGAGUAAUGCCUAGGAAUCUGCCUGGUAGUGGGGGAUAACGUCCGGAAACGGGCGCUAAUACCGCAUACGUCCUGAGGGAGAAAGUGGGGGAUCUUCG
rnacentral:rRNA from 1 species